rnacentral:rRNA from 1 species
GAUGAACGCUGGCGGCGUGCCUAAUACAUGCAAGUCGAGCGAACAGACGAGGAGCUUGCUCCUCUGACGUUAGCGGCGGACGGGUGAGUAACACGUGGAUAACCUACCUAUAAGACUGGGAUAACUUCGGGAAACCGGAGCUAAUACCGGAUAAUAUAUUGAACCGCAUGGUUCAAUAGUGAAAGACGGUUUUGCUGUCACUUAUAGAUGGAUCCGCGCCGCAUUAGCUAGUUGGUAAGGUAACGGCUUACCAAGGCGACGAUGCGUAGCCGACCUGAGAGGGUGAUCGGCCACACUGGAACUGAGACACGGUCCAGACUCCUACGGGAGGCAGCAGUAGGGAAUCUUCCGCAAUGGGCGAAAGCCUGACGGAGCAACGCCGCGUGAGUGAUGAAGGUCUUCGGAUCGUAAAACGCUGUUAUUAGGGAAGAACAAAUGUGUAAGUAACUAUGCACGUCUUGACGGUACCUAAGCAGAAAGCCACGGCUAACUACGU